rnacentral:rRNA from 1 species
GAUGAACGCUGGCGGCGUGCUUAACACAUGCAAGUCGAACGGAAAGGCCAGUGCUUGCACUGGUACUCGAGUGGCGAACGGGUGAGUAGCACGUGGGUGAUCUGCCCUGCACUUCGGGAUAAGCCUGGGAAACUGGGUCUAAUACCGGAUAGGACAAUGGUUUGGAUGCCGUUGUGGAAAGUUUUUUCGGUGUGGGAUGAGCUCGCGGCCUAUCAGCUUGUUGGUGGGGUAAUGGCCUACCAAGGCGUCGACGGGUAGCCGGCCUGAGAGGGUGUACGGCCACAUUGGGACUGAGAUACGGCCCAGACUCCUACGGGAGGCAGCAGUGGGGAAUAUUGCACAAUGGGCGCAAGCCUGAUGCAGCGACGCCGCGUGGGGGAUGACGGCCUUCGGGUUGUAAACUCCUUUCGCUAGGGACGAAGCGUAUUUGUGACGGUACCUGGAGAAGAAGCACCGGCUAACUACGUG